UGGUAUUUGAUCACAUAAUUCACAGUAUUAAGUUAACCAGAAGCAUAAGAAAAAAGCGAAGAACCAUGCUCUGAAAGUGUCUUGUUUUUAAUGCUAUAGGAAGAGAAUGAAGCAUGAGUUAAGAAAGUGCUUGUGACACUAUGUGAACUUCACAAAAGAAAAGAUUGGUUUGACGAGAGAACAACUAAUACAAUGUUCACUGUUUGUUUCCAUUCAGCACCAAGGAUCAUGAAAGCAUCUUUAUCGUCUCAAUAUGAACAAGACUAAGCAGCAAAGGUAGAAUUUGAUUUAGAGGCGAUGGGUAUAAUUCUCAAGUGUCAGAUCAUUAGUGAUUUGAUUUUCUAAUAUAACUAUAUAGUUUUAAGAUAAUUCUGUUAUGGUGAAGAGAUUUUAUGCAUCUCAAUAAUAAAAACUAAGCUUCAUUGAUAUAUGUGCAGGUUACUUGUGGUAAUAGCUGAGGUAAUCAAUGGAUACGUUGUCUUUUGCCUUCCCUUAUCUGUUUGCAUUGUUCGAUCAUAUGCUUUGGAACCAAGGCUUUCUACUUAUGAUCCUUGAUAUAGUAAUAUACUAACUAAAUUCUUUUUAAUCAUGAAUUUGCAGAUGUUGUGCUAGAUAUUUGCAUA